rnacentral:misc_RNA from 1 species
GGAAUAUCUAGAUUAUGGUUUGAUUUGUGCUAUAGUUUUGGCAACAGCAUUUUUGCAUAAAAUGUCUGCUUGUUGGUUUUAUUUGGCUACAUCUGAUUGUUUCUGCUGUAGUGAAAUAGAAGCUACUCAUAGUCUUUAAAAAAAUGUUCAUAUGGUAUUUUUCCUUGUCCUACAACCUGUAAUUCAGCUCACUGAUGAGUUGACAAGGGUUGAUGAGAAGCUCAAGUUGACAGAAUCACUUCUAGAAAGCAAGAAUCUUGAAAUCAAGAAAAUCAAU